GGCGUCAUAGCCAAGCGGUAAGGCAGGGGUCUGCAAAACCCCGAUUCCCCGGUUCAAGUCCGGGUGGCGCCUCCA
rnacentral:tRNA from 1 species